CCCUUGUGGAGGAGGACGCCGAAGGUGGGGCUAAUGACUGGGGUGAAGUCGUAACAAGGUAGCCGUACCGGAAGGUGCGGCUGGAUCACCUCCUAACAGGGAGACAACAAAAUGUAAAUAUUAAUUUUGUCACCUUAGGUCGAUCGGUAUCUCAGAUUCUUAAUUUUUAAGAAUUUUAGUUUCUAAGUUUUUUCUAGGUCACACCCAUCACUUUUUCCUGGGCCAUUAGCUCAGGUGGUUAGAGCGCACCCCUGAUAAGGGUGAGGUCCCUGGUUCAAGUCCAGGAUGGCCCAUAUCUCUAUGUUGGGGGUAUAGCUCAGUUGGUAGAGCGCCUGCUUUGCAAGCAGGAUGUCAGCGGUUCGAGUCCGCUUACCUCCACUGAAUACCACCUCUUACAUAUUUUAAAGAGGGAAAUUGUUAUGAGUCGUGUUCUAUUUUGCUCUGAGCGAAUCUAGCUUCCUAUUUUUAUUUAAUAAAUAAGAUGCUGGACUCAUUGAAUUAUUAUUCAUUGUUUUCAGAGAACCUUGACAACUGCAUAGAUUUUUUUUGAAGACAAUAAGCAUCUUUAAUGAUGCAGAUUUAUUAUUUGUGCGAAUGCAUUAAAUAACAAUUCUAUUAAGCUGAUGCUUCAAUAUAUUGAAGUUAUUGGUCAAGCUACAAAGGGCUCACGGAGGAUACCUAGGCACAC
rnacentral:misc_RNA from 1 species